UCUGGCGGCGGACGGGUUAGUAACGCGUGGGAAUAUACCCUUCACUACGGAAUAGCCUCGGGAAACUGGGAGUAAUACCGUAUACGCCCUUUGGGGGAAAGAUUUAUCGGUGAAGGAUUAGCCCGCGUCUGAUUAGAUAGUUGGUGGGGUAAUGGCCUACCAAGUCUACGAUCAGUAGCUGGUUUGAGAGGAUGAUCAGCAACACUGGGACUGAGACACGGCCCAGACUCCUACGGGAGGCAGCAGUGGGGAAUCUUAGACAAUGGGCGCAAGCCUGAUCUAGCCAUGCCGCGUGAGUGACGAAGGCCUUAGGGUCGUAAAGCUCUUUCGCCAGAGAUGAUAAUUGCAGUAUCUGGUAAAGAAACCCCGGCUAACUCCGUGCCAGCAGCCGCGGUAAUACGGAGGGGGUUAGCGUUGUUCGGAAUUACUGGGCGUAAAGCGCACGUAGGCGGAUUGGAAAGUAUGGGGUGAAAUCCCAGGGCUCAACCCUGGAACGGCCUUGUAAACUCCCAGUCUAGAGUUCGAGAGAGGUGAGUGGAAUUCCAAGUGUAGAGGUGAAAUUCGUAGAUAUUUGGAGGAACACCAGUGGCGAAGGCGGCUCACUGGCUCGAUACUGACGCUGAGGUGCGAAA
rnacentral:rRNA from 1 species